GACAGAGGUGCCAAGCGUUAGGCGGAAUCACUGGGCUUAAAGCGUGUGUAGGCGGGCGGGCAAGUACCUUGUGAAAUCCCACGGCUCAACCGUGGAACGGCUGGGUAUACUGCCUGUCUUGAGCCAGCUAGGGGCGACCGGAACAGACGGUGGAGCGGUGAAAUGCGUAGAUAUCGGGAGGAACACCUGUGGCGAAAGCGGCGCACUGGACCACAACUGACGCUGAGGCGCGAAAGCUAGGGGAGCAAACAGG
rnacentral:rRNA from 1 species